rnacentral:lncRNA from 1 species
UAGAACACAGAAUAUAGUCACAAUCCAGGAUAUCUCCCAUAGAUGCCAAGAUCAAUACUACAUGAAGCCUCUGAAUGGGUUUAAAGCAAUAGAACCCACAAAUAUUUAGAGUGGAAGAAAUUUCCAGCACAAGAUAUUUUAGAAGAACUUCAUAAAAGGUAUAAUGAAGACUAUCAGAUCAUGGGGCUCCAUUUUCUCACUUUUUUCAGUUUCCUUUUUCUUCCAGAUGCUCACAUUGACCUCAGGUCAGGAAGAGAUGAUAUCAAUGGAUCCCGAGGUGGGAAAGAUUAUGAGGAACGUCAUUAGCUUCUGGAUGGUAUCACAAAUGUUUAGUACAUAUAUAUUCCUCACUGAUGAAUAUAUUAAGAAACAUGCCUUUGCAUGGCAGAUAAAUGGGAUCCUGGCAGUGACAGGCUCACUGGAAGUGGGCGUUUGUAUUUGUUAUUUGUGGACAAAGCACAGAUGCUCAGGGCUUAUUUUCAAGGAAGAAUCGAUGAACUGGUUUGCUUGGGGUAUCACACUGAUCAUCUUCCUAUUCUUAGGAAUAAUAAUUUUGAAAAGGAAAUAUAGAUAUACCUUCUUACUUAUGGUGACAAUGUUUUUAAUUGGUUUCCACAACAUUGAGAGCAUCACCUUUGUGUUUCCUGUGAUGAGGCUAUAUCUUUCUCUGUUUAUUUCUCUAAGUGUAAUUUAAUAAGAAAACUGAUUGCAGUAAAAUUCUCUUCUCCAAACUCUAACGGUGUUUCUGAUUUAGUUUCUUCAAUAGAACAAUAUCUACGUCCCACACAUGGUUGUAUUAAUACCCAAUUAUUCUUACAUCAUUCUGAAGCAUUUAAUGUCCUUAUUUUUUAC